GACGAACGCUGGCGGCGUGCUUAACACAUGCAAGUCGAACGGAAAGGCCCUGCUUUUGUGGGGUGCUCGAGUGGCGAACGGGUGAGUAACACGUGAGUAACCUGCCCUUGACUUUGGGAUAACUUCAGGAAACUGGGGCUAAUACCGGAUAGGAGCUCCUGCUGCAUGGUGGGGGUUGGAAAGUUUCGGCGGUUGGGGAUGGACUCGCGGCUUAUCAGCUUGUUGGUGGGGUAGUGGCUUACCAAGGCUGUGACGGGUAGCCGGCCUGAGAGAGUGACCGGCCACAUUGGGACUGAGAGACGGCCCAGACUCCUACGGGAGGCAGCAGUGGGGAAUAUUGCACAAUGGGCGGAAGCCUGAUGCAGCAACGCCGCGUGCGGGAUGACGGCCUUCGGGUUGUAAACCGCUUUCGCCUGUGACGAAGCGUGAGUGACGGUAAUGGGUAAAGAAGCACCGGCUAACUACGUG
rnacentral:rRNA from 1 species